UUUUAUUGUUAAUUUAGAUUUAUUAAUCUUUAGCUAAUUUAUUAAUAUGUUAUAUUGAACAUGAAAGUAUAGGUGAUUAUGAUUAAAUUAGUAUAAUUUUAAUGUAUAAUUAUUUACAUUUUUAAGAUUAAAUUAAGGAAUUCGGCAAAUAUUGUUUUCUGCCUGUUUAUUAAAAACAUGUCUUUUUGUAAUUAUUUGAAGUCGGGCCUGCCCUAUGAUUAUUUAAAUGGCCGCGGUAUUUUGACCGUGCAAAGGUAGCAUAAUAAUUAGUUUCUUAAUUAGAAGCUGGUAUGAAUGGUUUGACAAGAAAAUUUCUGUCUCUAUUUAAUUAUUAGAAUUUAACUUUUGAGUUAAAAGGCUUAAAUGUUUUUAAAAGACGAGAAGACCCUAUAGAAUUUUAUAUUUAAUUUAAUUAAAAUUUUAUGGUUUAUUUAUUUUUAAUUGGAUUUGGUAUUUUGUUGGGGUGAUGGAAAAAUUUAAUUAACUUUUUCUUAUUUUAUUCAUUAAUUUAUGA
rnacentral:rRNA from 1 species